UAGAUGGAAGGAUGCUUGGAGGAGAAGGAAACAGGCGGGAUCCUGCCAUCAUCUGUGACUUUCGAAUUCCCAGUGCCUGACAAUGUUAGAAAUCUCAUCCAGCCUACAUCCUGUUCCCUGGAAUAGCAGGAAUGGACCUGCAGCUGCUGAAGUCUGCAUUAUCCAAUGAUGCUUUUGGGGAAGAUGCUGUCCACUUCCAGGUCAGAAAAUUCCCUAAUGUUUGCCAGUCUGCCUUCAGUCCAAGUGCCAAACAUCUACAUAUUCUGUGUCGGACAGCCAUGCUCAUCAUGUGACCCAGGGCCAUGCCCUCUCUGUGGCUGACCCUUAGUAGUGAAAGAUGGUGGAGCUGACCCAUUGGGGACCUCUUCUAUUGUUAACAUGCUAUUUUAGCCAUUCCUUCCUUCUUUGAUUUCAUAUGUGUUUCAUAUGUGUUUCCUGUGGUGUGCUGGUCUCACAGACAUGGAAUCACUGAAUUCAUUUGUGAAUGAGACAGUAGCUUCAGCUCCCAUAGCUCGAAGGAAAUCUGAACAACUGGAAAGGAAAUCCUGGGACCUGGAGAAGGAUGAAGAAGGAUCCAAGAGGAGAGUUUACAACAAAUGGGUUUCAUAUCUCAGAGACUGACAGCCUUUCCAAGGAGUCUUGGCAGAUUGCACCCGAAGAGCUGAAUGGCAUUCAAGUGUGUCUCAGUGACAGCCUGUAAGAUUCACCAUGUGGGAUUGGCUCUGCUCUCCCUCCUUUCUCCAGCUUCCUAAAUCACGGACAUGUAUCUCUGCCUACUUAGGGUGGGAGACGGCAGCAAAAAG
rnacentral:lncRNA from 1 species